AUUGAACGCUGGCGGUAUGCCUAACACAUGCAAGUCGAACGGCAGCACAGUAUUAGCUUUCUCUGCCGGUUGGCGAGGGGCGGGUGGUGGAGGAGUACAUCGCAAUCUGCUGGGUCUAGGGGGGCAACGUAGGGAAUCAUACCCCAAUACAGCAGACGAUCUACGGGGGAGAGCAGAGGACCUUCCGCCCUUGGGCCAGCGGAUGACCGGAUGUCGGAUUAGCUAGUUGGUGGGGUAAAGGCCCACCAAGGCGACGAUCCGUAGCUGGUCUGAGAGGAUGAUCAGCCACACUGGAACUGAGACACGGUCCAGACUCCUACGGGAGGCAGCAGUGGGGAAUAUUGGACAAUGGGCGCAACCCUGAUCCAGCCAUGCCGCGUGCGUGAAGAAGGCCUUCGGGUUGUAAAGCGCUUUUGUUCGGGAAGAAAAGCAGUAGGCUAAUACCCCGCGGUGAUGACGGUACCGAAAGAAUAAGCACCGGCUAACUUCGUG
rnacentral:rRNA from 1 species